rnacentral:rRNA from 1 species
GUGGGGAAUCUUCCGCAAUGGACGAAAGUCUGACGGAGCAACGCCGCGUGAGUGAUGAAGGCCUUCGGGUCGUAAAGCUCUGUCGUCGGGGACGAACGGCCGCCUCAGGGAAUGGGGGCGGAGUGACGGUACCCGAGAAGGAAGCCACGGCUAACUACGUGCCAGCAGCAGCGGUAAUACGUAGGUGGCAAGCGUUGUCCGGAAUUAUUGGGCGUAAAGCGCGCGCAGGUGGGAUUUUAAGUCCAUUUUGAAAGUUCGGAGCUUAACUCCGUGAUGGGAUGGAAACUGGGAUUCUUGAGUACCGGAGAGGAAAGCGGAAUUCCCCGUGUAGCGGUGAAAUGCGUAGAUAUGGGGAGGAACACCAGUGGCGAAGGCGGCUUUCUGGACGGUGUCUGACACUGAGGCGCGAAAGCCAGGGGAGCGAACGGGAUUAGAUACCCGAGUAGUCC